CUUGGAACCCACAGAUCCAUGGUGGUCACAUCGUGUGAGGACAGACAUUCCAGGCUCUUUCCUGGGGACUGCUGGGUGCGCCUGUGUGUAGGGGGUUAUGGUGGUAAAACAGUCCUGUGGGUACCAGCCUCCCUCUCAGUGGGCCUGGCUCUGCUUGUGGGGGUGUCCCUCCUGCAGAGCCACCUCAGUGUCCCUUAGGCCCCUUCCUCCUUCCUCUCAGCUUCUCCCCCUCCAUUCCCACCUGAGGCCCAGUGUUGAUACCUUCCCUAGGUCCUGACCUUUUCCCUCCCUGAUCAAGUGGGAGAGUUCCCCUCUUUCUCUCCUCAAUACUGAUCAUCGGGUAAUGAGUCUAUAAAGAGCAGGAGAAGGUACAUAACCCAAAGGGACUCAAACAAAAUGGAGUCAUUCCAUUCACUAGAUCUUUUCUGUUUGCAAGACCUUGCUAACUGGUGGUAGUUGGUGGCCCUGCUGAGAGAGCAGAGUGACUGGAUGAUUUUGAUGCAGACCCACCACCAGCAGCUAUUAGCUGUGUUUGAUUUGAUCAGAUUUCUGAAAUCUGAAUGAGGAACUGUGUUCCAGAAGAUUCUGGAUGAGGGGCAGAAGUGUCAACAUCCCCUUCUCCUGUCAUAUUUCACAGUGAUCUUCCAGUAAAAACACCACAAGGAGGCAACA
rnacentral:lncRNA from 1 species